GAAAGAAACAAUAUAUUACGGUUUUAAUGACAUUGAAUGCUAAAUUUCAUCAAAGUCUGAUAUUUUAUAUCAAAAACGGCAUGAAUUUUGUUCAGUCAUAUUGCUAAUUAUGUGUACAUGAUUGUUUAAUAGAAUGAAAAAAAAACAUAGGUUUUUUUUAAAAAAUUAUAUGAUAUUUGGAGAGUACUUGGCUCGUUGCCUUAAUUGUGGAAUAUAUAUAAAACUCAAUAUUUGAUAAUGAAUGCUAAGUUUGUUUAUAUAGCAUCAUCAGUAAAUCAAGCUUGUUCCUCAUUUGAACCUCCGGUUUCAGAUGCAUCCUUGUUUUAAAAUAUGCAAUUUUAUCGUCUUUAAAGACAUCGUCUGUGUCUAUUCUAACAUCUUCAGGACGAAUGUACUUUUUUGUUCGUAAAUCAUAAAUCAUAGGAAUUCUUUUCCGGUAAUUAUAAUCCAAUUGUUCAUCACCGAAGGAAUUAAAAGGAUUGUCUAGUUUCACCAAGUUAGUUAGAAAUAUAUUUUUUGAACGCUUACCCUUCACCAAAAAUUCGAGACCAGAUUGUUCUUGUUCUCUAUACUUAAUAGCCAUGCUUAUGCUUUCAUUUUUAAAGAGCUUGUAGCAACUUUGGUACAAUUGAACUUGGGAUUGGUGGUCUGCUAGUAAUUUCGAAA